UAGACAAAAAUGGAGGAUCAAUCAGCUAUUUCGUUUUCCAUCAUGCAGACAACAAGGAGGGAACGGAUAUUACCUGCCAAUUCCGUCUCCUGAGAGGCCGGCCAAAAAACGUAUGCCGCAAGAUGGCAGCAAUCUCAUUUAGCGGACGGACGGACGGCAUGGUGUCGAAAGAUGUAUCCGUUGGCAUUUCUAGACAUUAUCUAGCCCUGCAGUUUUGCCUCUUUUAACACUAUGACGUCAUUUUUCGGGAUGCGCACCCCUGGGUGACGAAACAACCAACAUGCUGCAGUAAACCAUGAUGCGCGCUCCUCGUUCCCUGGAGACCUCUUGAUCUCGCAAACAUUGCCUUUACUGGCGGGCAUCGAACGGGAAGAAAAACGGAUACCAACAAUGGAAUUGGAUUAGAAGGAGAUGGAUGGAGUAUCAAGUGGACGUCCUAGUGAACGAGCGAGCGACCAAACAAAUAGACAAAAAAUGGAGGAUCAAUCAGCUAUUUCGUUUUCCAUCAUGCAGACAACAAGGAGGGAACGGAUAUUACCUGCCAAUUCCGUCUCCUGAGAGGCCGGCCAAAAAACGUAUGCCGCAAGAUGGCAGCAAUCUCAUUUAGCGGACGGACGGACGGCAUGGUGUCGAAAGAUGUAUCCGUUGGCAUUUCUAGACAUU